rnacentral:rRNA from 1 species
AUUGAACGCUGGCGGCAGGCCUAACACAUGCAAGUCGAGCGAGCGGCGGACGGGUGAGUAAUGUAUGGGGACUGCCCGAUAGAGGGGGAUAACUACUGGAACCGGUAGCUAAUACCGCAUACUAUCGGAUAACCCAUAUGGGAUUAGCUAGUAGGUGAGGUAAUGGCUAACCUAGGCGACGAUCCCUAGCUGGUCUGGGAGGAUGAUCAGCAACACUGGGAUGGAGACACGGCCCAGACUCCAAGGGAGGAAGCAGUGGGGAACAUUGCACAAUGGGCGAAGGCCUGAUGAACCCAGGCGGGGUGUUGGAAGAAGGCCCUAGGGUUGUAAAGUACUUUCAGUCGGGAGGCGUUACCGAAAGAAGAAGCACCGGCUAACUCCGUGCCAGCAGCCGCGGUAAUUC